CAGCGUCUCGGCCCGUCCUCACCCUCAGGGCUCCUGGGACCCAGGCCCUGGUGGGGGACACGGUGGAGCUCCACUGUGAGGCCCAGACAGGCUCUCCUCCAAUCCUGUACCGGUUUUAUCACGACAAUGUCACCCUGGGGAGCAGCUCGGCCCCCUCAGGAGGAGGCGUGUCCUUCAACCUGUCUCUGACCUCAGAACAUUCUGGAAACUACUCCUGUGAGGCUGACAAUGGGCUGGGGGCCCAGCGCAGUGAGGCUGUGACACUUUCCAUCACAGGGCUGACAGGGAGCAACAGUGGCCAUGUGGCCACAAGCGUCACCGGGGUGCUGCUCAGCCUGGUGGGCCUGGCGGCUGUGGCACUGCUGUUCUAUUGCUGGCUCCCGGGAAGAGCAGGACCCUCAGGAGUGGGAAGAGGGGACGAAAGGCUGAGAAGCAGGGGUGGAAACAGGACGCAGAUGGUGUUGAUAACCUACUGACUUAUUAAGGUGUCUUCACAGCUGAUGGAGUCUGUUUUUCUCCAGGCUGCCAUGGGCCAUUAUUCUUUACAGACUCCAGGCUAAAGGGUCAUGGAUGGGGGGCCCCUUUCACAAUGUAACGACACCCCUCAGGAAGCCAGGGUCAGUCCCAGGGUUGGUCAUUGUGGCCCAGUCUGCCGCGUCCCACGGGCAGAGCUAAGAAGGGUUCCACAGAGGCUCCUGUAACACCCUCUGCUCUCUCUUGCAGGAGGGAGGCCUGCCUGUGAUGCCUCCAGGUAAGACCUGGGCUGUGUGCCUGCGGGGUUCACGAGAGGCCUGCGGGGCAGAGAGAGGGAAUUAAGCUGAGAGCACAGUCACGGCUGCGUGUUGUGAGAUGGGUUGUGACCAGUCCACGUGGUCACCUCCUGGGGGACAGCACAAGGCAGUUCCCAGGACCUUCUCACCUGCCACCUCCCCUAAGAUUCCUUCUUGAGUGAGGUGCUAACUGCUCUUCAUGUGUAACUGCCAUCCUAUCCUUGUGCCAUCGUUUCCUUGCUUGUCUGAGUGCCCGCUGUAACCGCCGACCCCACCCAUGUCCUGAGAUGGCCUUCACCUUAGCUGGAUCAGCCUGGAAAGCUCUGGCCGUGGCCAACCUAAGCGAUAUCUGUUGUGACGACACUAAGAAGGUGCAGUCACACAGCGGGGCCACCAGAGAGAGGUCUCUGCCAGGGUGGCGCCUGUGAGGGGCUGCCA